ACCAUAACGAUGCCAGCUAGCGAUCUGCCUGCGUUUUUACUGUAGACUGGGCAGGAAGCUUCCGGGAAACCAAAGCAUUUGGGUUCCAGGGGAAGUAUGGUUGCAAAGCUGAAACUUAAAGGAAUUGACGGAAGGGCACCACCAGGAGUGGAGCCUGUGGCUUAAUUUGACUCAACACGGGAAAUCUCACCAGGCCCGGACACUGGAAGGAUUGACAGAUUGAUAGCUCUUUCUUGAUUCGGUGGGUGGUGGUGCAUGGCCGUUCUUAGUUGGUGGAGUGAUUUGUCUGGUUAAUUCCGAUAACGAACGAGACUCUGUCCUGCUAAAUAGUUUCUACUUCUCUUUUGAGUAGAAAUUCUUCUUAGAGGGACUGGUGACUCUUAGUCACACGAGAUUGAGCAAUAACAGGUCUGUGAUGCCCUUAGAUGUUCUGGGCCGCACACGCGCUACACUGAAUAGAUCAGCGUGUCACCCUUCCCGAAAGGGACGGGUAAACGCUUGAACCCUAUUCGUGGUAGGGAUCGGGGCUUGCAAUUGUUCCCCGUGAACCAGGAAUUCCCAGUAGGCGCAAGUCAUAAGCUUGCGUCGAUUACGUCCCUGCCCUUUGUACACACCGCCCGUCGCUACUACCGAUUGAACAUUUUAGUGAGGUCCUCGGACUGUGAGCCUGGCGGGUCGCCCUGCCUGGUCUACGGGAAGACGACCAAACUGUAGUGUUUAGAGGAAGUAAAAGUCGUAACAAGGUUUCCGUAGG
rnacentral:rRNA from 1 species